UACGUAGGUGGCAAGCGUUGUCCGGAAUUACUGGGUGUAAAGGGCGUGUAGGCGGGGAGACAAGUCAGAUGUGAAAUACCGUGGCUUAACUGCGGGGGUGCAUCUGAAACUGUUUCUCUUGAGUGUCGGAGAGGAAAGUGGAAUUCCCAGUGUAGCGGUGAAAUGCGUAGAGAUUAGGAAGAACACCAGUGGCGAAGGCGAUUCUCUGGACUGUAACUGACGCUGAGGCUCGAAAGCGUGGGGAGCAAACAGGAUUAGAUACCCGGGUAGUCCCU
rnacentral:rRNA from 1 species